UACGGAGGGUGCGAGCGUUGUCCGGAAUCAUUGGGCGUAAAGGGCGCGUAGGUGGCCCGGUCAGUUCGUGGUGAAAGCGCGGGGCUCAACCCUGCGUCGGCCAUGAAUACUGCCGCGGCUGGAGCACUGUAGAGGCAGGCGGAAUUCCGGGGUGUAGCGGUGGAAUGCGUAGAGAUCCGGAAGAACACCGGUGGCGAAGGCGGCCUGCUGGGCAGUUGCUGGACACUGGAGGCGCGACAGCGUGGGGAGCAAACAGG
rnacentral:rRNA from 1 species